GGCAGAGAGACACUGCCAGCUGCUGCCAUGACCAGCAGCAUGUGAAAACACCGGAACAAGUGGCCAUGGAGUCUGUGGGAAGGUCAGAAGACAACUUGCUGGAGACAAUUCAUAUGAGCUUCACAGCACAGGUGAAGCAAGAGAAGAGAGAAGAGUCAUGCAGAACUGAAUCACAUGAGCAGAUCAAAAGAGAUCAAGGCUAUUUACCUUCACAGAUCGUGACGCCAUUUCCAGAGAACCCCACA